AGCGGAGGAAAAGAAACCAACAGGGAUUGCCUCAGUAACGGCGAGUGAAGCGGCAAAAGCUCAAAUUUGAAAUCCCCCCGGGGAGUUGUAAUUUGAAGAUUGCGUCUUGGAGGCGACCGUGUCUAUGUUCCUUGGAACAGGACGUCACAGAGGGUGAGAAUCCCGUGCGGCACGGCCCCCGGCUCCUUAUAAGGCGCUCUCGACGAGUCGAGUUGUUUGGGAAUGCAGCUCAAAGUGGGUGGUAAAUUCCAUCUAAAGCUAAAUACAGGCGAGAGACCGAUAGCGAACAAGUACAGUGAUGGAAAGAUGAAAAGCACUUUGAAAAGAGAGUGAAACAGCACGUGAAAUUGUUGAAAGGGAAGGGCAUGCCGUCAGAUUGUCAGUGUGGGUAAGAAGCGGGGUACAAAGACUGUGGAACGUGGCCCUCGGGUGUUAUAGCCGCAGUUCAUGCCCCGUCUCUUUCCGAGGCCUGCUUUGAGGACACCGACGUAAUGACGGUACGCCGCCCGUCUU
rnacentral:rRNA from 1 species